rnacentral:rRNA from 1 species
GCACAAGCGGUGGAGCAUGUGGUUUAAUUCGACGCAACGCGAAGAACCUUACCAGGGCUUGACAUCCCCUGACCGCGUAUGAAAGUACGUUUUCACCCUCGGGUGACAGGGAGACAGGUGGUGCAUGGUUGUCGUCAGCUCGUGUCGUGAGAUGUUGGGUUAAGUCCCGCAACGAGCGCAACCCCUACGUUUAGUUGCUAACAGGUGAAGCUGAGCACUCUAGACGAACUGCCGUUGACAAAACGGAGGAAGGUGGGGAUGACGUCAAAUCAUCAUGCCCCUUAUGUUCUGGGCUACACACGUGCUACAAUGGCCGGUACAGACGGAGGCGAAGCCGCGAGGCGGAGCAAAACCGAAAAAGCCGGUCUCAGUUCGGAUUGCAGGCUGCAAUUCGCCUGCAUGAAGUCGGAAUCGCUAGUAAUCGCAGGUCAGCAUACUGCGGUGAAUACGUUCCCGGGCCUU